rnacentral:rRNA from 1 species
UACGUAGGGUGCGAGCGUUACUCGGAAUUACUGGGCGUAAAGCGUGCGCAGGCGGUUCUAUAAGACAGAUGUGAAAUCCCCGGGCUCAACCUGGGAACUGCAUUUGUGGCUGUAGAGCUGGAGUACGGCAGAGGGGGAUGGAAUUCCGCGUGUAGCAGUGAAAUGCGUAGAUAUGCGGAGGAACACCGAUGGCGAAGGCAAUCCCCUGGGCCUGUACUGACGCUCAUGCACGAAAGCGUGGGGAGCAAACAGG